AGUGAACGCUGGCGGUAGGCCUAACACAUGCCAGUCGAACGGCAGCACAGUAAGAGCUUGCUCUUACGGGUGGCGAGUGGCGGACGGGUGAGGAAUACAUCGGAAUCUUCUUUUUCGUGGGGGAUAACGUAGGGAAACUUACGCUAAUACCGCAUACGACCUACGGGUGAAAGCAGGGGAUCUUCGGACCUUGCGCGAUUGAAUGAGCCGAUGUCGGAUUAGCUAGUUGGCGGGGUAAAGGCCCACCAAGGCGACGAUCCGUAGCUGGUCUGAGAGGAUGAUCAGCGACACUGGAACUGAGACACGGUCCAGACUCCUACGGGAGGCAGCAGUGGGGAAUAUUGGACAAUGGGCGCAAGCCUGAUCCAGCCAUACCGCGUGGGUGAAGAAGGCCUUCGGGUUGUAAAGCCCUUUUGUUGGGAAAGAAAAGCAGCAGGUUAAUACCCCGCUGUUCUGACGGUACCCAAAGAAUAAGCACCGGCUAACUUCGUG
rnacentral:rRNA from 1 species